rnacentral:rRNA from 1 species
GACGAACGCUGGCGGCGUGCUUAACACAUGCAAGUCGAACGGAAAGGCCCUGCUUUUGUGGGGUGCUCGAGUGGCGAACGGGUGAGUAACACGUGAGUAACCUGCCCUUGACUUUGGGAUAACUUCAGGAAACUGGGGCUAAUACCGGAUAGGAGCUCCUGCUGCAUGGUGGGGGUUGGAAAGUUUCGGCGGUUGGGGAUGGACUAGCGGCUUAUCAGCUUGUUGGUGGGGUAGUGGCUUACCAAGGCUUUGACGGGUAGCCGGCCUGAUAGGGUGACCGGCCACAUUGGGACUGAGAUACGGCCCAGACUCCUACGGGAGGCAGCAGUGGGGAAUAUUGCACAAUGGGCGGAAGCCUGAUGCAGCAACGCCGCGUGCGGGAUGACGGCCUUCGGGUUGUAAACCGCUUUGGCCUGUGACGAAGCGUGAGUGACGGUAAUGGGUAAAGAAGCACCGGCUAACUACGUG